rnacentral:misc_RNA from 1 species
UUUCCGUAGGUGAACCUGCGGAAGGAUCAUUAAUGAGUUGUCAUGGGGUUCGAUGCUGGCAGCCAGUUUUUGGAUGCAUGUGCUUGCCCUAACAAUCAUCUCCUUCCAAACACCUGUGCACAUUUUUGAGGGAGUCUUGAGUUGGUUGCCGCUCUUGGGUGAUUUUCUCACAUUCCCUUAAAUCAUUAUACGCUAUUAACAAUGUUGAACGUGCUCUGUGCCGCAAGGCCAUUAAUAUAAUACAACUUUUAACAACGGAUCUCUUGGCUCUC